rnacentral:rRNA from 1 species
CACGCAGUAAACGAUGAAUACUAGCUGUAUGCGAUAUACUGUAUGUGGCACAGCGAAAGCGUUAAGUAUUCCACCUGGGGAGGUACGUUCGCAAGAAUGAAACUCAAAGGAAUUGACGGGGGCCCGGCACAAGCGGAGGAACAUGUGGUUUAAUUCGAUGAUACGCGAGGAACCUUACCCGGGCUUGAAAUGCAGAGGAAUGACUUGGAAACAGGUCCGCCAGCAAUGGUCUCUGUGUAGGUGCUGCAUGGUUGUCGUCAGCUCGUGCCGUGAGGUGUCGGCUUAAGUGCCAUAACGAGCGCAACCCCUAUCAUUAGUUACUAACAGGUUAAGCUGAGGACUCUAGUGAGACUGCCACCGUAAGGUGU